GAGAGAUUCAGUGCUGAUGACUGGCUGAAAGAUGAGAGUAGGGCACAGGAGAUUUGACUAGAGGUGGAAUCACAGAGAGAUGACUGUCUUCCCUGCAGAGACUCAAAUGGAAGAGACACUUUGACAGGGGAAUCAAGUUACUGCUUCAUGAAGCUGAUCUGGGGCAGUGUGUGCCUGUGUCCCAAAUUCCUGGUAAGGGGAGAGGAGUUAUGUAACUGGCACGAGGAAAUCAAAACUCCUGCUAUGCUGGGCUCACUCAAUAAAAAUGGUAUCAUGGGAAAAGACAUGCCAAAGUAGGCUUAAAUAAACAGCACAGAGGCAAUGGACCUGCAUGACAUAUGGAAGGGUUACAGGGAUGACACAGUAAUUUUAGUUGUGAUUUAAGAGUUUAAAGGAGUGAUGGCAGAUUAGGGGUAAAUCCAGAGUUCAUCUGUGUGUUACAAACAGCUGCUUUUUUUCAUUAGAGAGGUUUUUUCUUUUACUUUUGUUUUUCUCUAUCAAGUCUUAGCUGUCUGGUGUGAAAUCUGGCAGUGUGUGUUGGAUCAGAGCAUGUUCCCACUGAAACCCAGUGUAAAGGCUUCCAAAGGCUUGUCAGUUUUCCAGGGUCUAUCAAACUUCACAAAUAUUUAUCAAGUAGAUAAGCUUUUACAGCAACUCAUUCUAAACCAUUGAAGUUACUUCUUGGAAUAGAUAAAAUUUGUUAAGAAAAGAAACCCUCUUAAACUUUCCUAACAGAUAGCAGUCCAAUGAGAGCUAGCCUCCUAAAUACCCAGCAUAAAAGGGAAGAAUAGCAUGGCAUUUGAUUUCCUGAGUGCUAAGAAAUGAGCUAAGAACAACAAAUAUUGUCCCUGUUUGAUUUGAAAUGGAGCCAUGCACAUGCUGGCACUCCUUGCAGUUCUGCAGUGUUUUCCCACCAGUGCUGGAGCCUUUGCGCAGGCACUGUGUGUAUGUGUGCUUCUGUAGAUAUUUGGAGCUACCCAAAGAGGUUCACACUACUCACCUGUCCCCCAUUCCUGAUGUAAAUACAGAUGGGCUGCAGCUCCUUUCUGAAACCUGCUUGGUUUCAUUAGGUUUUUAAAGAAUUAUUCUGUUGUGUCUGAAAAACAGGAGCAAGACUAUAGACUACCUUAUAUUAUUCACGUGCAUGCUAUGUUUUGGCUUUCUCAGAACUUGAUGUAACAGAGGUACAUUUUCAUUGCUCAGAUCCCCCUCUGUUCCUCAAGCCUAAUAAAAGCCAUCUAUAAAUCAGCAAUGUAGUGCUUUCACAAUGCUGGGGCACACACAAGAGGGGUAUAAUGUACUUAGCAAAAGGCCAGACUAACUUGAAGGAAUUCCAAGCUAAACAGAGACCCUUUAACAACAAGUUUCCAUUGGGCUCUGACAAGGCUAGACCAGGAUGUGUGAAGGGCAAAAUAAUCUCUCAGCACUCAAUAGAAGCAGAAGAUCUAUAAACCGUGGAGGAUCAUUGGCAUUUCUUGCUCUUUGCCUCCCAUUUCUGGUCUGAAAAUUGUCAAGGCCCCAGCCUCUUCAGAGCCUCAUCACUGCAAAAAGGCACUCUUCUCUGGCAGUCUUAACUGUCUUUGGAACAGAAGGAUCCACUGCAAAUGCCCCUGGUGUCCCUCUGUGGUCAUAUGCUAUUAUGCGCUGAUUGCAGAGUUUUACUGGUCCCUGUGAAAAUGAGAAUAUGCCCACCUUUGUUAAAUGUCAGUGUUUUCAGAGAUGUGUAAAGAGAUAUCAGACAAUGUGGGGAGACAGGAAAGAUAAUGUUGCUUGCUUUUCCCUUUAGGAUUGGGAUAGCUGAGUUUCCCAGAGGUGUUCCCCUUUCUUCCACUGCUUGGAAUUGAAAACCAGGGCCAGUGACAAAGGCUUAGCUAUAGCAACAGUGCAGCUGGGAAUGCUCAUUACAAACAGGCUGUGUCAUUAUGGUGGUGUGGAAAAACUCUUCAGAACCUCUACUGCCUUUCAAGAACUCCUAACUUCCUUUCUUCCUUCCCUCCUCUUGGCAUGCUCUUGCAGUCUAUUGCUAGGAGGCCUUGUGCAUCCUGCUUUGUGUUUGUUCUCCUACUCCUGGCCCUUGGUUCUUCCAUUAGCUGUUUUCAAACAACCUAUCUUGCCAGUCUAAUACACACUAGACACCUCAUUUUAGAGAAGAAAUGAUCCCAGGUGCUUUUCUGGCUUGCUCUGUAAUAUAUUUUUCUUAAACAGCAGUUUGAUUUUUAAUCUUCCAAAAGUGAUGUAGCACUUGGAAGAGCAGCCUCAUUUGGGGCCUCCUUUACCUGCUGUUUCAUGUUCCUGUGAUGAGAAUUACAAGUAAAAUCACAUUUCAAAGUCCUUAAUCAUGGUCUGAAGGUUAAUACCAAGGGGUAACCCUCUGCGUUUCCCUCACAUCUCAGCAGGAAUACUUAGCUCCUGUGCAUGUCGCAAUUUCUGUGCCAUAGCAGCUAUUGCCUGGUUGUUACUGAAAUGACAAUAGAGAAUCACUUGGUUGGAGGUAAAGCUGAGCUGUGAUACGUGUUCAAUCUUAUCAGACCCAAGUGUGAGGCUAAGUUCCAACAAGAGUGAUGAUUUCAUCCUUUAGAUACAAAGCUAAAUAUUCCAAAUUUGUGAGGAUAAAAAGAAAGACAUCAUUUUGUAUGAUGGGAUGUUGUUGGUACUUUUUCUGUCUCCUACCUGAACUCAGGCACCUAAGGAUUAUAUUUUUCUUGGAGAGUCCUUUUUCUCAGCUGAAUUUACAGCAUCUAUGCUGAGCUCUUACGGCUUGAUCCAAAAUCUGCACAAAGAGAUAAAAUAUUUUCAGAAAACUUCUAUUUAACUUUAAUGCCCGGUGUCUUUUCAUGCAGAAUUUGCUGUGAUUUAGCAGUAUGACUACUGCAUAAUAUGCUAUAACUAGCAUAAUCUACCUAGCUUUGUAGAGAGAUGUAAUUAAAAGUAAAGACAAAAUUGCAUGGUAUUGGGAGAAAGAAAACAUAAUACACAAGAAGGCUGAGAAAACUUUGUUUCUUCUCCAUAAUAUUAGCUGGUUAUUAAGAAACAUAACUUCUCUAAAACCCCAGCCUUGGAUAGAAUCACUGCAACCUUACAGAACAAGACACACAUUACAGUAGGAUGUGUUGAAACACCCUUUUCUUUGUUUAUAUGUAGUAUCCCUGGGAAGAAACAAACAUGACCUUCAUUUACAAAUGAAUCAUUGAUUAAGCAACAGUUUAAAAAACAACAAAAAAAAGAGAAUAGCAAAAAGAAAGAAAAAGGCACAGCAGAUAUUUUGAUGACUAGUCAAACAGCAGACAGCAGAGUCUCUCUUGCCUGGUGUGCAUCAUUCCAAUGUCACUGUUGUCCCUCCAGAGGAUUGGUGUGGUUUGUAGAUGUACACAAAUAUUGGGGAUUGGCAGACUCUUAGAAAUACAGCCUCUCUCACCUCUUUGUUCUUAGUACCUCAUCAGCCAUGCUCAGCAGAGUAUAACGAGCCCUUUCGAUACCUUAAUUUCUCUUUUCCAUUUUAGGGUCUUCUUUUUAAGCCUUCUUUUGGUUUUGCUGUAAUGUGAUGCUAGUUCUUUUGUAAGUCAAAAUGUUGACAGGCAUAUGCUUGCUCUGUAGGUUUAGAGCUUGUGGGUGAAUAACGUGUGUGUGUGCCACAUUUAGCUUUGUGCUUUGCUGGAACAGUCUGUUCCAGCACAUGGGGGUUUUUUCUCCUAGACCUCACCUUUCUGCCCAUAUGAAAUGCAAGCUGCUUGCUAUUUCGUAUCACGCUCCUUUAUAAUGAGCUAAUUCUUUUCCUACACUGUCUUCCUCCUACUGUCCCACCUUUUCUAUAUCUCUGUAGAAUUCUUUAAGCAGGAAAUGGAAUCUCUUCAAGCCAAGUGCUGUGCUUGAUUGCUGCUGUUUAUUUAGGGUAGCUAUAGUGCUCUAGUGGCCCAGAGUCCCUGUAGAAGGCCAUGGAGACCAAGGUCAUGGUUCCCAGGGAACUGAGAGACAUUGAAUUUGUGUCCUAUGUUUUGAUGGCAAGCUCUGGAAGGAGAGCCUAGCCAUUUCUUAAUGUCUCUAUUUUCUUGCAAGCAAAAGCUGCAGUUGCCAUGGAUAUGUUUUGAGAUCUUAAAUGGAAGGGGAAGAGGUUGAGAAGGCACAUGCCAUGGUGCAGCCCGUGCACUUACACCACAGUCUCUUCAGGAGCUGCAGCCAAGUAGACCCAAACUCAGCAAUGUGAAGUCCAAACUCGUCUACUAAAUGGACAGAAGGAACCUGGACAAACAGCAAAGAAGGAAUGUGAUUAAUGAGUGCCAACCAGCCGUGAAUGCUGCUCAAGAAUCAGGAGUCAGUGCACCUGCUGCUCAGCAGCAGCACGCAAAGCUACUCCUGUAUCAGUGCUGUGUUGGGAGCAGACUCCAGUCCUUGAAACACACCCACUGUGUGCUGCUAUUGGAGCAGAGAGCAGUCAUGUAAAAAGAAACAGCACAUCUGAAUUUCCUCUCCAUAUUUAUAGUUCUGUUCAAGGUAACUCAACAUUUUUCCUAGAAAGGAACCAUCUUAAAACUAUUGGGUGGAAUAAGAAAAGUGCAUGGGUGCUUUCCAGAGUCAAGCCAUCUCCAGAUUCUAGCAUUGAUGUAGGAAUAGAUUUGGACUAAAAAUACCCAUUGAUUUCAUUUUUGGCAGGCAAAAAGCAGCUACUUGAGGGACAACAUAGGUAGUUUGGGCUCUUGAAGAAGUGCCUGCAGACUUGAUCUGGGAUUUAUGCAGCUGGCUAUACCAUCAGAGGUGUACACAUUACUGCAUUUUCCCCAGCAACACCAGACAGUAACACUUUUGGUGCUUAGUGCUCUUCUGUAACUAUGUUUAAAGUUGAUGUAGAAUGAAAAUGUUCCACGUGCCAUUGAUGACUCCUUGCUUUGGAGGGUGUUGUCUGCUAGGUCAGCUCAGGGCACUGGUUUCAGACGAGCCUGGAAGAUUUGUGUUUUAAUUCAGAAUUGUGCCUACUUUGGCACAAAUCAUGACAAGAGACAUGUUUCUGUUGGAGAAACACACAGUUCCUGGCAUACUCUCCUAAAACUAUGCUUGUGCUGAUCUUCCUUCUUUUCUUUUGUUACCAUGCAUAUUAGACAGACACUUGAAUCACCUGGCCUUGCACUCAUCAACCUAUCCUGGAAUCUUCCAGGAUUGUGGUGCUUUGGGAAGAAAAAAAUCACAUAGGGGUCCUAUAGACACCAUGUGUCCCUGUGUUCCUCUCUCUCCCCGUCUCCCGAGUCCUUCAUGAUAUGCUCGAGCCAUUGCUGCAGCAUCACCUGGUGCCCCAACCCCGCCAUCUCUCUGUGUCUCUGUGAUCUGUGCAGCCAAAGUGACAGCCAGGUGACAUCGGGGCUGGGUUCAUCCUGCAGCCACAGCUGGGGCAGCAUCUCCAGCACCAUCACUGCAUCCCAAAGGCAAGGGCCCCGGGAUCUGGGAAGGCUGAGGACCCUGACAGCUUGGGUACUGAGGACCCACAGAGACUCCCAGGACCAAGUCAUUUGGGGAUGUUAAGGAUCCCACUCCCUGGGGCAUCCACCUCUGAGGGCUCAAUGUGUGUCUGCUUAUAGACAAACAAUAUUGCAAAGAAAAAUGUCAUCUUAGUAAAUAUUUAUCUGGGUGCCACAUACAGUAUAAAUUUAAAUUGGCUCACUGUAUUCAGUAACAGGGUUUGCCAGCAAAUGGACAGUCUUUGUGUGAAAUUCAGUUCUAACAAUUAAGGAUCUGUCAGAUUUCCACCAGAUGAACAGUUAUUUAAUUGAGGAUAUAUGUCCUGUACUAUUUAAUACAUAAUAAAAUUUUUUUAAUGAAUAUGUGAGCUAAGAUUAAGGCUGCUAAUUUAAUCACUGACAGCAGAGUCUCUCAGUGUGGAAAAUAAUGCUUUUGCAUUGACACAUUAAUUGUUGCUAAUUUUUCUAUGCUGUUAUUUUACAUGCAAAGAUCAAAAAAACACCAUUUUCCUGGAGGCAGGAAUAAAACUGCAAAAGCUAUAGAGGAAGCUGGGCAGGGAGCUGUGGUACUGACUUUCUGACAGGAAACAAAAAGUAAUUUUGGAGAGGAGCAGAGUCUGUGACUUUUUAUUGGAAAAAUCAGUCAGGUGGAAAACUCUUGAUCAGUUAUCCCAGUUGCCUCAACUGGUUCUGAAUAUCUUAUUUCCCAAUACCCAGUACCAGUUCCAGGUUUCAGGGGGAGAACUGUGACUUCUUGCUGACCAGUCCUGCACUCCCAGCACACUGAUUUCUCCAAAACAGGUUGUAUGAUUUUGUAUGAGUGCUGCAUCUGCUGUAUGUUAGAUUAAUAUUGUGUGUACUGGUGUCAGGAGACAGAAAGAAUAAAUAGCCUCUAAGCAGACAGAAGGCUAUAUUUAGGUCUAAGCUGAGUAUGCCCUCUGCCUGCCAAAUGCAAAAAAUCCAAACCCUAGCGCCUCUUCAUUUCCUGCUGGAGACUUACAUACGGUUGUUUCCUCCUUGUGUUUUAAAACUUUCAGACAUGGUUACAGCCUUGUGUGAGGCAGCUGCUCUGUGACAGCCCCAAGACCACAUGGUGUGACUUCCACCAUGGGCCAUGGGGCACUAACACAGGCUCUCCCCUGGGGCCUCUCCUCAGCCCUGCCAUGGGCCAGAGCCCCACCUGAGUCCCUGCACCAGUGCUGCCAUAGAAAGCUGAUCCCAUCUUUGUGCAGCCAUGGCUCUGCCAAGCCCAGUUCCAUCCCCAGGGCCCUGCCCAGCCAUUCUGGGACUGUGGCUGAUCCUGGUUUCCUGCACCAAGCCUGAACCUGACCCCCACUCCUGGGGGUACAUCCUGGCCUGGACUUGUCCUAUCCCCAUGGCCAGGGAGUUGCUGGAGCUGCUCACAGGUUUCCCUGGUCCUUGGCCACAGUCCCCCUGGGAACACCCACUGCCUCUGUCAUUCACAGUGUCCAACUUCCAAACACCACCAGAGAAAGACCCCUUCCACCACCUCAGCUAAGAAAUAUUAAUCCAGAAAGGACAGAAAGGGCUAAAGUGUAUGCAAAGGCCGCCUAUGGUUCCUGCUUUAUGAUUUUUCACCAGGAGCACAGGACUCCCCUUUACAGAGGCAGUGUGUCUCUGGGAAGCAGCCUCUGUCAUGGUGGAAUAUAGAUGUUCCUGAGUUAGAUUUAAAUGAAAUGCAGUGGAUAUCACAGAGGAAUCCAGCUGUGAGACUCAGCAUGGGCUAAAUUUAUCCUGUUCUCUGCACUCUGCUGUACUCUGGUUUAGAAGUUUGAUAAAUGGUCCACAGGUCUGAAUAUUUCAGAAACAGCCUGGCAUUACUCCCAGGUUCAAAUAGGAUGUAAAGACUGCCAAAAGACAUUGGGAAAAGUAAAAGAGCUGCUUGUCACCAGCACUCAGAGGACUUUAGCCUUUCAAGAGGAGAUUCUGAGCUCCUGAUGAGAGCUGACUUUCAUAAACUGCAUUCUAGUUUUACAAUUGUAUUGCCAGGCUGGAUCUUUUUUGUUCCCAGAACUUCUGAAGUUGCUAAAGAAAUUUGUUAUUGAAAGCCUCUUUUUUUCUUCCCUUUUACCAAGACUGAUUCACCUCAAUAAUGCUGAGCCUGUGUACACUGUCAGGAGUAAGUUAUCAUGAAAUGGAGAAUCAGAGCAUACACCUUUGUGGGGAAGACAGUUGAAGAGAUAGGAGAGCAAUUUCCCCUUCUAGAUAUUGCUUCCUUCCCUGUGCAGACUAUGUGUAGAUACGAGUGUAAACCCACCUAAUCCAUAAAGCCAAACUGUUUGGAAACACAUUUUGUAGCAUGAAAGUCAGGUUGCCCAGGUCCCAUUUAAUGCCCAGCACAAAGUAAUGUUUCACGACCUGCUCUUUCAGAAAAGGAUGGUUUAUUUUAAAUGUUUCAGUACAGGACUAUGUCUCACUGUGCCAUCUGUGUUUUGAAUGCAGCAGGUUCUGUUGUGUAGCUACGCAUAUAUAUAUAGUGCAUAUGUAAGUGAGAGGAGCUAAGGGUGACUAUCUACCUGCCUCCACUUCUCAUUUCUAUGAACUAGACAGACAUCUGUAUCACUGCUUAACCUCAAGCUAAGAUUGGUGGCAUUAGGAGCUUUCUACACAAUUCACUACUGGAGGAGUAGCAAAGAGUUUUUCCAAAACCAAACGCUUAUUUCCAGUAUCCACCAGAAUACAGGUCUCCUGAAUGAACUGCAAAUUCAAAACUGACUAUGAAUGACCAAGGGAAUGAUAAAAGUUCUUUAGCCAGCCAGGUAAGGCACAGUCUUUGAUCUUGGACUGUAGUGAAAAUGCUGUUUUGAUUUAAUUGUCACUUAAAUGGGAAUAAAUCAGAAAUAACUCACGUAAAUCUUACAUCUGUACUUCACUUUCUGGUAAAUCUCAUAGGCUCAAUGGUGAUGUGAUCUAAUUUGAAAUGUCUUUGAGAAUUUAUUCAGAAUGAGUUUUACCAGAGUACUCUUUCUAUUUGAAAGGAGAAGGUAGGUUAAAAAAAAAUAAAAAAGGUAUUUUACAAGGAAAAUUCAAGGAAAGAACACUCAGCAUGAAGGUCUGGUUAGACACAUGGUAGUGUUUAAUCCUUACUGUUCCUACCCCUUCAGGCCAGGCUUGCAACACUGGGAACUUUUCAGUUCUUGCUCCUGGACCUACUGACUGCUAAGAGGACAGAGCUGUCCCAGCCUCCUCAUUUUGUCUUGGCUUAAUAAAUAACAGUGUAAAGGACAAGAUGCAGCAUAUGCCAAAAGUAUAUGCCUGUGGGCUCCAUAUGUCAUACAGCUGGAAGGCAGCUGUGUUACAGAAGUAAUAAGUAAUAUAGCCAAGAAACAACCAUUAUAAUCAGGUGUAGGGGCAGCCAAGUGAGUAAUACUGCCAGGAGGAAUGCCUACAGUACAGCAGUUGUGAAAUACUGAUUAAGAAGUCCUAAAGUGGCUACUUUCCCCUGACAAGUCAUUCCUGCUGAAGCAGGCAUGUUUCCAGGCUAAUAGUUUCUAAGUGCACUUUCAGGCUUAUGUGUUUUGGAUGUCUUUAGCUGAAGCUGGUUAGUUCUUCCUGUCUGUAUAUGCAAUGCCUCCUAUCAUAACCCAUCAUUUCAGCUUAUCAUCACACUCCUGGGAAUCUUGAGUUCCUUAACAGAACUGACUGAAAACCUCCCCUCAUGCAUCAUUUCCUGGACAAUUCAGUCAAACCCUACUAAGACAAGCUUUCUUAUGGUAAAAAGAACACUAGAUGUAUCAGCUGCUAUUUUUUUUUAUUUAUUUAUUUUAAUUAUUAUUAUUCUUUUUCUUUUCUUUUUCUUCAUCUCAUCCUUAUUGUAUGUGAAAGGUGAGGAUGAAAUCUGCCCCUGUCAGAUACUGGCUGCUGUUAAAAAUAGACAUGUCUCUGGUAAGAAAUCUUGGGAUGGGGUAUUGCUGGCAACCUGAUCAAACCUAUCACUUUGCAAUUUUUGCUUUCCUACUUUGUUUUUUUAUCCCCCAGUUACAUGAAUGCAUUGUUGCUCAGAGGUUUGUUACUUAUUUUAAACAAACUCUUCCAUACAGUAGUUCCAGCAACCUAGAAAUGAAGCAAGUUGUUCUGCAAAGGUCAACAAUUCAUAUUAUAUAUUCUAUUUAUAUUAUUUAGCCAGUGUUAGAGCUUUAUCCCAAUAUCAUUUGAUCAUUGUGGGAAAAGUCAUGUUAAUAAUAUAUAGGGUAAAACUGAAAACAGGACUUAAUAACAUUUCUUGUCUGCUUCAAAACAGCCUUAGGAUCUUGACAGCAUCUCAUUAGGUACAGGCAUAUUCAUGAUAUUGCUGUGGGCUCCUGAGAGUUAUUGUGCUGCACUCAAGGGUAUUACUGGUGGUAGUUCUGCCUGCAGUCUGCUCAGCCCCUUGCUACCAAAAGUGUUUGUCAGACUAAUUUUGUGAUGUAUGUGGCCUUUUGAGGUCUCCAGUUAAAAGAAGUGUUAAAGCUACAAGACAUUCUUAGCUGUUGACAGCUACAAGACAUUUUCCUAAUCAAAAGAAGUGAGUUCAGAGUGUGGUUGUUAUCGGUGCUCCUGUUCUUUUUUAAACUUUCUUACAGUAAUUGUGCCAAAUGUCACUCUUUGAAGAACAUAAAGGAGCUGAUCAAGUUAAAUUCCAAGAUUGCUUUGUCAUCAUAAAAGGGUAAGGAGUGACUGCAAAUAUUCUUUAUGAAAAACAAAUGGAGGGCUUAAGUUUCUUUCCCUGUUUUUUCUUGAGUGGAGUAAAUCCCAAUUUGUGGUGGCAGGUAUGAGAGGACAAGAAUCCUAGGCAACAAUCCAAGGGAGAAUGUAUCCCAGCACCUAAAAGUCAGAUAAUUGAGAGUUGGUUCCUUCUUGCACACUUGACAAUUAGUGAGGAAAGUCACUCUUUCCUCCAGCAGAAAAAUGUCCUUCUUUGCUUUACUGGCAUUUUCCUACUGGUGUUUGUCAAGUGUCUCUUCUGGAGCAUGAAUGACCCUUCAGCAGAGAGCUGCUAAUAUCUUCUACUCUGUGCAAUAAAAGCUAUUUGGCUUCACUUUUGAGGCUUCAGAGUGGAACUUUACAAGUUUUAAAGAAAUGUAUGUAUGUUGGUGUGCAUGUCAUACACACACACAGAGCUGUGUAUCUACAUAUAAGGGCAAACUCAUAGUUUAUUAAUGUUCUUGUGGCUGUAAAUACUGAUGAUAUCGGAAAAUGUAACAUGACCUUAUAAAAAAUAAUGUAUUAGCACAUGGUAAAGUGCAGGCUCCCAUUGUAACUCAGUUGCUAUUUGCUAAUUAACAAAAUUAACUUUCUCAGAGACAAAUGGGAAUUAUUGAGUUUUAACUGUUAUUUAGAUUUUUGGUUUUUAAAAAUUUCCAUGGCUAAUCUCUUCUUUAUAAGUAUCAGAUGUUCUUCAAGGUUAGCUUGUGUAAUGCAAUGAUUAGAGCAGCUGAAUUUUUUCGCUGGUGCUGAUGACUCCAAAUCUCCUGCACAUCUGCAGUGUGCACCUACUGCCCUGGAGCAGAGCUACCUGCAAUGGCCUGGCUUUCACUCACAGGUCACUGAAGGAUGGAAAGCCUCACCCUGCCUGCCUGUGUGAACUUGGCUGUUGAUCUACAUAGCAGCAGGACCUGGGGUUCCCUGCAAGUCGUAAGCCAUAUCUCAGGACUGGAAUUCCAGUUUCAUUGCCUGUACACACUUGGAGGUAAGUGACUGCAGUACACAAAGAUCAGAAUUUUUAUGCAUCUCAUUCUGUGAUUGUUGCUUUUACCUCCUAGUAUUUAAUUAUGGGAAAGCCUUUUUUCUGUCAUGCAUAUGCUAUAGUGCUUUCAGGUGCCUCCUUUGUGAAACAGCAUGAAACUUCCAGUGAAGUAGUACAUUUGUAUAUGUUAUGGAUUCUGCUGGAAAUAAGCACAUUUUCUGGAAGUCAUUCUCCAGGUAAGACACCAGAAUGUUAUACCUACUCUCUUUGUUCCUCCAUUUCCCAACUGCAUCCUGACAUAGCAGUGGGCUGAGUGAUCCAGGCUGAUCAGGAACCAGUUGCCAACCUCUGCUACAGGAUGGCCCUUCAGAUGAGCUCAGGAGUGACCAUUCACAGCAGGGCACUGUGGCAGAAGAGGUCACUGGCAGUUCUGAGCUGCCUUGGUGGCAAACGAAAACUCAGAGUGUCAUUUCAGUUACAAACCCUGCUUAGAAAACAAUUCUCAGCAGAUUGAGCUCACCAAGCACUCUAGAUUGAGACAGUAGAAAUAAUUUCUCUGACUUCCACUCCCAUUGCCAAGAGGAAUCAAGGCUUCUGGAGAACUCUGAAUUGAUCCAGAUACAGAGCUGGAGAGGCAGAGAAGGUGAAUGCUGCUGGCAGCAGGGCAGGCAGCCAGCAUGCUGUUCUCUUCCAGACUUUCAUGGCUGCACAGAGCAUAGCAUCUCCCUCUACCAUUUAGUAAAUUUAUGACAUCACCAGCUGUUACCAGGGAAACACAGAAACUACAGAUUUGGAUCUUGGCAGCUAGGUAAAGAGAAAAUAUCUUGCUCUUUUGGGGGUCAAAUAGGAAGGCUGAAAACAAAUUCCAGAACAACUUUGAAUUGGAACAAAAUUGAGGUAGAUCAAUAAUUCCAAACCAAACAAUUUACCUGCUAAAGUGACAGUGUGGUCCCUAUUAUAUUCCUCACAGAAGACAAUCAUAGGGGAUCAAGUGCAAGACAUGUAACUUCAUGCAGUUUAAACAUAUCAUUCAGACAUGAGACCACUGACAACUUCAGUUCUGAUCUGUGGAUUUAACAAGCUACUUUUAAGGAUGUGAUAUCCUCUGACCAAUGAUUUUUCAGAAAGUGCUGCCUCUUGAGAAAAUUUGCUGGUGUUUCACAUCAAAGAAAGUAGGUAGUGUUGAGUUUUGGUAAAAUGGUGUGCAAAUACCAUUACUGUUCUGACAAAGUAUGUGAUUUUAUAGCUUUUAAAAAUGCGGGGUUUGUGAGAACUGAUGUUUUCAGACAUUAAUUUUAUGACUUUUAGGUGCUUGAGAUUAUUGAAGUUAUGAAAAUCACAUUUUAGUCUUUUAGUAGCAUUAGCUGACAUUUUAUUUAUGUUGCAUGUUGAAAUGAGAACUCUGCUUUUUAAAUUAGUUAUUAUUUGAGUACUGAGUAGUUGAGACCCAGCCAAUAUGAGCUCUUGUGCAGGCCUGUUUGAUUUCAUUCACACUGCACAAGAUGUACGGGUGUGUACUUGAGUUACCCAGAAACAAAUGCAUCUUUGCAGCAGAUGGAGCAAGCUCAAGUGGGGACUCCAGCUGAACUCAAGCCUGGAAUUGUAACAGCUGCUUUGCCUCUAUUAAUGCCUGCAAAGCUAUGGGCUGUAUGACUGGAGAUCCCAGGUCAUACCUCUACCAGAAAGGCAGAGGUUGUUAUGCCCACUAGAUGUGCAGAAGAUCUGAGACAAUCUGUAUGGAAUGCUAAAGAUCUGUGGACUCAUCCUGUUUGGCUGUAUCUCCACUAAGGAGCAAAAUUAUGUAGGGAAAAAAUCCCUCUAAUGCUAAUCUGGUGUUAAAUAUAUCCAUGAUGAAGGUUCUUAUGUGGACAUUGAGCAUAUUUCUAGCACUGUUCCACAGCUCUUGUCUUAAAGUGCACAGGAACAAGUUUAAUCUGAUUUGUGUCCUCCACACCGAAACCCAGGCAAGAUCUGGUUGCCAAACAAGGAGUCUCUUUCCCGUUUUGUUGGUGGCCUUGGAUCCUAGAAUUUCUAUGUCACAAAGUAGUUUGCAUACAGUCUGGAUUUUGUUAUCUGCAACAUGGUUCAAUGUUCCCUGUUGUGCCUUGUUUCAGUGGGAUAAUGACCAAGGAAACUGCUGAGAUAUGGAUGGAUUGCCAGGGAUAUGUCAUGAGAAAGCUGUCCAGAGUCCUCUGCCCACAUGCUGUGAUGCUGGCUCACAUUUCCAAAGCAGGGAUGCACACAGAGGAGAUCAUUACUGCUCCAAAGAGCUUAGUUAUCUAUGCAAGUUCCUUUUUUAUCCUUUAAAGUGAGUCACUUGGAAAGGCUCCUUUUUUGGUCCUCUUUAGUUUGACUGCUGGUUCCUUUUGCUUGUAUGCCCAGCCAGAGCCCUGAGACUUGUGACUGGGCCUGCAAUGGCCACUGGGGCUGCUGUCAUGGUUUAUCUCUCUGGAGUGGUGAAAAUAUAAUUCUUCUCAAUUUUCUUUUCUUUAAAGGACAUCGAAGAUGUUUCGGACAAGGAAGGAAUGGAAUUAUUGGGAUAAUUCAUGGACAGCCAGGAUGGAGUUCCACCUGCAGACUUUCCAGUUGCAGAUUUGAACUGAAAUUCCCAUGAGAAGGAUGUUUUGUGUGGUCAUUUCAUGGUGUUUGCGGCCUCUGCCAUGGUUAUAGAACUCAGUGCACUCCUGUGGUCUCCACAUAUGUCUCCAGUUCCACUUUCCAAAUGCUGUGUCCACUGGAGCUACUCUUACAUCCACAGGGGAUCAGUAGGAAGUACUUUAGCCCUCUGCACACCUCACAUUGGCAUUUAGCAAAACAAAUCAAUAUGACAAGACUGCAUUAAUCAGACCAAUAGAUGAUACUUAUUAUUUUAUAUACACAGGCUCUUAUAAGUUACUACAGGGCACCUUCACAUUCUUGCUGAUGUCCUCCCUGUAUGUGGUGCACUGGAAGAGGAGGGGCAGUUUUAUAGGACAUACAGGGACAGCAAGACAAGGAGCUUCAACUGGAUGGAAGCCCUGUCCUCUGAAGAAGUUACUUGUGAAGAGCCAGAAAGAAAAUCAUUAAAUCUGGUAACUGCAUUGAUGUGAGUUUGUAACACAAAUGGACACAGCACAAUUCUCCCCAUUCCUUCUGGAUUGGCACUGUGUUGGGAAAGGUGAUAAAGAAAAUUUCUGCUGUGCUACUUAUAUUUAUGAUAGAUGAAAGCCUCUCUAAAAAUGACACCCUCUUGCUCUCUUUCAUGAUCUUCUGAUAUAUCUUGAUUGCUGACUAAGGUAGCAACAUGGAUAAUCAAGCUUUUAAAGGCCCUAUUUAAUAAAUCUUAUAACAACAUUAAGAGAAGCUAAGGUGUAUUCUUCUCUUACAGUGUACCAUUAAAAGAACUGGUAUCACAUUUUUCCUGUAAAAUAGCUCCUAAAAAUUAUCUGAGCUGACUUUGAAGCUCCAGUAGGAUGACCAUGCAAACCUUCCUGCUUCCUUCUUUAGAAAGAAAAGGGACACUGCAUGAGAGACACUUUUCAAAGUAUUCCUCACCAUUAGCCUAGUGCUGAGGGAUUUGGUGCCCUGCAGCUAGGAAAACUCAGAAGUGUCAUGCAGAAAAGGGACUCAGGCCAGUCCUGAGUUGCUAAGUUCCUCUAAAGGGAUUUUGCCAAAAAAGGAGAGGAAUUUGUCACCUAUUAGAACAUAGUUCGGCUGUACUAUGCAAGCAAUUUAAUAAACUCUUCCUGUAGGAGUAGUGGCAGUUUUUGAAAUUAAAGAAGUAGGGCUGCUUCAUUUGCACUGUUGACUUUGAAUUUCAGUGUUGACACUGAAUUUUCACUGUUGACUUCACUGGAGCCAUGGCUCUUUACCAGAUCCAAAUUCUAAAGUGCCCUUAAAGGAGUGGCUGCAAAUUUAUAAAUCAUAAUCUGAGUCCUCAGCUGACAUGACAACCAGCACCACUCCUGCUUAGGAUCUUGCCCUGCAAACCUGUAACCCCCUGUCUACAGUAGUCACUCAGUAUUCAAUUUGCCCCCAGCUAUUUUUACUGGAAUUUCUGUUAAUAACAAAGAGCAUCUCCUUUCAAAGAAGUGUUUAAAGGCAAAUUAUACUACUGAGUACAUAGUGUUUCAGUGCUUGGGCUUCAAACACUCUGGAACAGGCUGAUUUGUUUAAUAGCUACAGUCCUGACUGGAAUGUUUUUAAACUGUGUAAACAUUCCUACUAGUUUUAUGGGUUGCUAAACUUUUUUCUUUUUUCUUUUUUCUUCUUUCCUUUUUCUUUUUUUUAAUGCUGGUACAAAUUUAACUUGACAGUGUACUUUCCAAGCCUCCAUUAAAUAGGGCCAACUUGCUAUUGAUAGAAAAAUAUCUCUGGAAUAGCUUUAUGAUGCCUUGCAAUAGAAGAUUUUUCAUUAACUCUGCCUAGAAAGAGAAACCCUACCUAACAUGUCUUUGUGAGUUCUUACUGUGCCUUAAUGUCUGUGAGACCCCUGCUGGUUGAAAGGGGAAGAGAUUGGAAAGAAAAACUCCAAGAUAAUUUAAUGGAGAAAGGAAUUUCUUUUCAGUCUGUUGUGUUUGCCAAUCACUGUUACCAUGCAGCCACCAAAGACCUCAGUGCUUUGAAACUUCUCACGUACAGGUUGCAGUUUGUUGGUGCUUUCCUCACAUAAUUGUGUUUUAUCUCUCUUCAAGUGUGUCAGUGCUGUUUUAAAAGAUCGUAUAGAAAUAUUCAGCUACACCAUCUGGUUUCAGUUUUCCUUAAUUUGGUGUCAGCCAAGAUCAAUCUUAUACAGCCUGGAUGAUUAAAAAGGACAGAGUUAAACCUGCUGCAUUUUAGGGAUUUAAGCCUUCCUUUUCCUCCUGUAAAUUUUGACCUUUUCAAAAUGGGCUUCCCCCUCCCCCUUAAGAAAGUGGAACACAAAAUAAAUGUUUGCUACUUUUCCAGAGGAGCCAAAUUCCAUGCAUUCUGGCUGCUUUUCACUGACACAAAAAUUAUUCCAAAAUAAUUUGUCAUUAUUUACAAAAUGACACUAUGUUACUGUAACAAUAACAGCUAACUUGGCCCUUUGAAAGUUAUGUACUUUCUCAAGAAAUUUCAGUCUAAGAGGCAAAACACUGAUCAUGGUGACCUUGGGAAAAUACAGCCUCAAGAAAGUAGUGGAUGUUUGUGAUUAUUUUGAAAUCUCCCGGCUGCAUCAGUUUCCCAUUGAGGCAAUUUGUGCUUGUGUCACACCCCACAGAGUGGUUCUCUUGCUUUCCCUGUCUGCAGCCUGGGUCCUGGAGAGGUAAAAGGAGCAGGGGCAGCUUUAGUCCCCUCUGCUGAUGAGUUUCCCGGGGAAGGAAAAUGUGCUGUGCAUAAAAAAAAUCUAUGUAACUGUUGCCUGAUUGUCUGCCUGGUGAUGGGACUAAGCAGAGUUGGGGUGGGUACCAAUCCAUGCCAUGUAGAUUUGUUUCCUCUGUUCCCGAUAGCAUGACUGAGCCUUGGGAACAGUUAGUGGGAUCAUUGAUGAGCUGCUGAAUUCUUCCUUGUCUACUUUCUUUUGUCUAGGUUGCCUCAAAUUAUCACUGAAUUUUAUUGUUUUUAUACACACACAACUUUUAAAUCCACACAGAUGGCACUUUUGGUCAAAAUGCAUUACACACUUCUCAGACUUCGCAGCUGGUUGAGCACCAAUGAAGGAAAUACAUUUGGUAACUGAGUUGGGAAAGAAAGGUGCUUGGAGAUGCAGUUUCUAAUGCUUUCUUUUAGAUAUUCCCAUCAGACCAUACAAAGAACUCUUCCUGACUAUAUUAAGAAAGAAACAGGAGAAUAUAAUUUAUUUUUUUUUAAGAAAUCUUUUAAAAUUAAAACGUUUGGGAGCUUGAUUAAAUGUUCUGUGAGAAAAAUGUGCAGUUCACUUACAGCUAUUGACUUGAGGUUUAUACAGUAUUGCCAAGUGCUGGAACGAAUAAAGCUUUAAUAUUGGA